rnacentral:rRNA from 1 species
CACGUAGGAGGCAAACGUUAUCCGGAUUUAUUGGGCGUAAAGCGCGUGUAGGUGGUUCUGUAAGUAGGGCGUGAAAGCUCCUGGCUCAACCGGGAGAGGCCGUUCUAUACUGCAGAGCUAGAGGAUGGUAGAGGGAGGUGGAAUUCCAGGUGUAGCGGUGGAAUGCGCAGAUAUCUGGAGGAACACCAGUGGCGAAGGCGGCCUCCUGGACCAUUCCUGACACUCAGACGCGAAAGCUAGGGUAGCAAACGGGAUUAGAUACCCCCGUAGU